GAAUCAUCCAUCCUGAUUGGUUAAACAUUUCGAAAUACUCUCUUCUCAUUGAGGAUAUGUGAGUAGCUGAGGCAAAGUGGAUGAAAAAUUGACUUUUCCUCAUUAUAAAUACGCUAUGUUAAAGUGCUAACAUUUUGCACAAAGAAAGGGCAUAAGGACGUAAAUGUUUACAAUUUAGGUAAUAUAAAAUAUAAAAUAUAAAAUGAAAGAAGUUAAAUAAAAAAAUAAAAUACGUGGCACGAUAUGUCGUCCUUGUAUUCUUGUUUACAGUUUACGUACUUUAUAUGUUUAACCUUUUAAUCUUAUAUUU